CCGUCACAACGGCUUCCUGGCGUGGCGGUUGAAAAUCAAUGGAGCG
rnacentral:ncRNA from 1 species